rnacentral:rRNA from 1 species
GGGCCCGCACAAGCGGUGGAGCAUGUGGUUUAAUUCGAUGCAACGCGAAAAACCUUACCUACUCUUGACAUACUUGGGAGCUCUUGUAAUGAGAGUGUGCCUUAUGGAACCAAGAUACAGGUGCUGCAUGGCUGUCGUCAGCUCGUGUCGUGAGAUGUUCCGUUAAGUCGGAUAACGAGCGCAACCCUUACCCUUAUUUGCCAGCGAUUCGGUCGGGAACUAUAAGGGGACUGCCGGUGAUAAACCGGAGGAAGGUGAGGACGACGUCAAGUCAUCAUGGCCCUUAUGAACUGGCUACACACGUGUUACAAUGGUAAGAACAAUGAGAAGCGAUCUUGUAAAAGUGAGC